rnacentral:rRNA from 1 species
AACGAACGCUGGCGGCAUGCCUAAUACAUGCAAGUCGAACGAUCACUUCGGGGAUAGUGGCGCACGGGUGCGUAACGCGUGGGAAUCUGCCCUUGGGUUCGGAAUAACAGCGGGAAACUGCUGCUAAUACCGGAUGAUGACGUAAGUCCAAAGAUUUAUCGCCCAAGGAUGAGCCCGCGUAGGAUUAGCUAGUUGGUGGGGUAAAGGCCUACCAAGGCGACGAUCCUUAGCUGGUCUGAGAGGAUGAUCAGCCACACUGGGACUGAGACACGGCCCAGACUCCUACGGGAGGCAGCAGUAGGGAAUAUUGGACAAUGGGGGCAACCCUGAUCCAGCAAUGCCGCGUGGGUGAUGAAGGCCUUAGGGUUGUAAAGCUCUUUUACCAGAGAUGAUAAUGACAGUAUCUGGGGAAUAAGCCCCGGCUAACUCCGUGCCAGCCGCCGCGGUAACAC